rnacentral:lncRNA from 1 species
CCCCAGUCUGGGGAAAUGGAGACUGAAAAGCAGCCCCCAGAAAAUAAGACACCCAUGGAACUCCCUCUAUAUUACUUCUCUAACUUCCCUUACUAAUGGAAUUGUUAUAAUUAUUGUUCUCUCACCAAUACAGGAGAAAUAAUAUGAGAGCAAAUACUUAUAGGGUUAACACAUAUAUGUCCCACUUUAACCCCCUUAGAAUAGUACCCCAAAAAGAUUACAUUCACAGAAUUAAGAUCACUAACCAUUACCCCCUCCUUUCUUUCUCUUAGCAGAGAUACAUUCAGAGGCUCCACACCCAUUGCAGGCCAAGCAUGACAGAUACAUCAAUCAUUCCUCUGAAACACAAGUUACAGACACACUUCACUGGUUCGUUAUGUUUACCAUAAACAAGCAACUUUGCCAGGUGCUUGAAUCAAACAAAAGAAAAAUGCAACUUGGAAAUUAAGGAAAAUUCAAUUCUGGCCUGCUUUAAGUUACCUUCUAACCCUGCACCUAGCUAUGAAUUAUUUUGUUACCCAUCUCCUAAGUAAUUGUGAUUGAUUGUGAAAACUGAUCAAAAGCAACAAUGACUCUCCUAGCUGCUCAUCCCAUAGAUCAGGGGGAACUAAUCUCCAGAUCACCCUGUUUAUGUCAUUCAUCAUUUCUGUUACAGCAACAAUGUUUCAUUGACUAUCUCCUUAGGCUUCGUGUCUGUUGUUAGGUUCUAUGGAAACAUGUAUGUUGAGAAAUGAUUGUGUGCCAGAAAAGUAUGUACUCACUUGUGAAUUUUAAAUUUGCUCCACCCUACUUAGCCUAACAAUCAGGAAUGUAUACACCCCUACUUAAGGAUUAAGUGAGUGUUGAGGAGGAUGGCCUAUGACAGACAUGUGCUAGCAAAUGACAAAUAAGAAACAACUGGGGCUGUCCUAAAUCAAUCUUAAUCUACCAUUGGUACGUGUGAGACACAGGAAGUGAUGUAAAAAAUAGCCUAUAUAUUUGUGUCACUUCCUCUUGGCAGGUUAUCUCUCUCAGUCUGUCUGUUUCCUCUCUCUCUCUCCCCCCUUCUCCCUCUCUCCUCUCUCUCUCUCUUCUCUCUCUCUCUCUCUCUCUCUCUCUCUCUCUCUCUCUCUCUCUCUCUCUCUCUCGGAGACAUUGGGUUCAACUAGUGGUGUGGCUCAUGGCAGCAUUUUGGCGUCUUGGAUUCUUGGCGUGGAUCAGGUCUAGACAUAAAUCAGCAGAUUCAAUGUUGGAUGCUUCUCAAUAAAGAAUCCUAUGUGGCAGAGAACAUAUGGAGAUGUCUAUCAAUGGAGAAUGGCUGAACAAGACGAUAAUGGAAUACUAUUGUGCCAUAAAAACUGAUGAGUAGGAUAAUUUCAGAAAAAAAACUGGAAAGACUUAAAUGAAAUGCUGUAGAGUGAAGUGAGCAGAACCAGGAGAAUGCUGUCCACAGUGACAGGAAUACUUUACAAUGAACAACUGUGAAUGACUUGUCUAUUCUCAGCAAACCAAUGAUCCAAGACCAUCCCAAAGGACUCAUGAAGAAUUGCCAUCUGUCUCCACAGAAAGAAUAGUUGGGAGACUAAAUGCAGACCAAAGUAGAUGAUUUUUUACUUUCUUUUUUUUCUACUUUGAAUUUUCUUCCACAGAAUGAUUAAUACAGAAAUGUUUUACAUGCUUGCAUACGUAUAACCUAUAUCAGAUUGCUUGUCAUAUGGGGGGUGGAGGGACAAGGGGAGAGAAUUUGGAACUCAGAAUUUUAAAAAACUAAUAUUGGGACAGCUAAGUGACUCAGUAGAUUGAGAGCAAGGCCUAGAGAUGAGAGGUCCUGGGUUCAAAUGUGGCCUCGGUUGCUUCCUGCCUGUAUGACCCUGGGCAAGUCACUUAACCCCCACAGCCUAGGCCUUACUGCUCUGCUGCCUUGAAACCAAUACUUAGUAUCAAUUCUAAGACAGAAGAUUUAAAAAGUGAUAAAAAUUGUUUUUACAUGUAUUAGAGAAAAAAAUAAAA